UAGAUCCUACCGCAAUCUCUAAGUGUUGUUAGUUUUCUGCCAUUCAAAACUGACUGACUGAAUUUAGGACUGUCUAUGUAUAUUUCCACUGCUGUCUAAGGUUUAAAGAUUAUAUAAAUUUUUAAGGUCUGUUGCUUUCUUUCAUUACAUUAUAUUUUGUAUUGAUUAACAAUAAUUAGUUAAAAUUACCAUGUUUUUACUGCAGGUGCCUCCAGUGGGUGAAAGCCUUGAAAAUUGGCUUUCAAAAGCAUACUCAAGCCAUCUGUAGUGACCACUUUGAUGGGGUUCAUUUUGGCAGCAAGGGCCAGCUGCUGCCGACUGCAACCCCACGUCACACAGAUGGCCAUGAGGAGCAACCACCCACUGGGUUCCCGGCAUCAUCACACAAUGCAGCCGCCAUUGACUUGGAGCCAAUGGAGUUGGAACUCUCCUCUACACAGAUUGUGCUGCCACAUUAUGAUCCGAACACAGCUUUCGGUAACACCCAAGAUAAUGUGGCAGCCCAAGAGGAGAGUCCAAGAAAGAGGCCACGGGUGGACUUAAAUAGAACUCAACCACCCCCUGAGGAAUGUGGCAGUAUCCAACCCCACCUGCUCAGUGUCCCCCAAGCCACACAUGAAAAUGAACUGCAGCCUGACCCUGACGAGUGUGCUCCCCAUUGCACUGCACCAGCUCCAUGUGCUG